CCUUAAGAUGUCGUGUUGUUGAGUGUUCACACGGAUUGCCUUGAUUCAAAGUAGUUAGAGCAAAGACCUGGUGCGAAAGCGUCAGUGCUUGUUCAACCCACGGUUGAACAAGAGAAGCCCUUUUGUUGGGUGUUGGGUGUUGGGAUGUGAAUAAUGGCGAAAGUCGUUACCCAAUCACCUGCGCGCAAGCGCAAAGACAAAUCCGGGUCCCCUUCGUCUAGAGGCCUAGGACACCGCCCUUUCACGGCGGUAACAGGGGUUCGAAUCCCCUAGGGGACGCCACUUCUCUUCUUGCUAACAAGAAUGCAGAGUUAAGAAGUUAAUUCUUAACUCUGUUUUCUUCGGCCUUGCGCCGUUGCAAACAUGCUCUUUAACAAUCUGGAAAGCUGAUUUAAAAAGUAGUUCUCAAACAUUUGUUACAAGUGCUUUGGAAACUUCUUGGCGAAAACCAAAUUUUAUUUGGUCCUUGUUGUACGACAACAGGCUGUGCCGGUUUCACCGACACUUCUUGGGGUUGUAU
rnacentral:tRNA from 1 species